rnacentral:lncRNA from 1 species
CAAAAAGACAAGCCCAGGAUGUCAGUCUAGAGCCUUACUUUGGACCUCACUCAUCUAACAGAAGAUAGAAUUUUGAUUUUGGAAGUUUUAAGCCAUUUCUCCAAGAGAGAGAGCUAAGUUACUGGACAAACUGGACAUCUUGGGAAUGCCAAAUUCAUACUGAAUACUUGAAGAACAAACACAACCAAUGGUUUCUGAGAAACAGUUCUCUAAAAGUCAUGUGAAUUAUCUUACCAAGAAAUCCCUGAAGGAGACUAAUCUCUGUGAUUGACUUCGUGUGGUUGAAUCAGACAGGGAGACGUAAGAACUUUGUUAUUUCCAGAGGAGUCAAGAUGAAGAUGGGUCAGAAUGUGAGGGCUAG